UACGGAGGGUGCAAGCGUUAAUCGGAAUUACUGGGCGUAAAGCGAGUGCAGGCGGUUUCGUGGGUCGGGGGUGAAAACCCCCGGCUUAACCUGGGAAAUGGAUCCGAAACUGCGUAACUAGAAUAUGGUAGAGGAAGACGGAAUUCCACGUGUAGCGGUGAAAUGCGUAGAUAUGUGGAGGAACACCAAUGGCGAAGGCAGUCUUCUGGGCCAAUAUUGACGCUGAGGCUCGAAAGCGUGGGUAGCAAACAGG
rnacentral:rRNA from 1 species